ACGAGGCGCGGGGCGCGGAGUGGCAAGAGCGCAGCAUGGGCUGCGCAGAACUGAGGCAGACACCCAGAGGCUGCCAAAUUGUCAUCUGAGCCGGACCGGGUUUCGGCGGCCGCGCUUUAUAGUCGCUGGAGCCUGGUGACCUAUUCCAGGGCUACAAGACUGCCUCGGCAAACAGCCCAAGGAUGUUCGGUUAUCUCGCCUUGAGGGUUCGCGCGUCACGUGCCCCCCCCGUCCCCCGCUUGUUUUUCAGUUUAAAAGUGGGGCCCGUGUCUGCAGGACUCUAGGAGCUGCGGGCCCACCCAUUCACUGAUGUUACCCUCUCCUGUCAUUUCUCCUUUGUGAAGGGCACUGAAAAUCUUGAGUUUUCUUGGGAAAGAGAAGACAUCAAACAGGCAUAUGAGGUAGAGGAUAAUAAAGAAUAUUACCUCCUUUUCAAGUACCUUGAUUUUUUUGAAGUUUUCUCGAAGUUGGUUUACCAGUUUCACAAUAACACAGAGCAACUAGAAGAUCAAAAUUCCUUGUAUGAGGGAAGAGUAUCUGUGGACCAGGCUGAAAUUUCUGAGGGGACUCUAUCACUUUUACUAAGAAAUGUGGAUUUCAUGGAUGAAGCUAUCUACAAGUGCUCAGCCAUCACACCAGAUGGAAGAGGUGAAAGUACAAUUAAGCUAAUAGUAGAAGACUCUGAAAUGCCCCAGGUGCAAUUUGACAGGAUUGAUGAUGAGGAUGUGGCCACAUGCAUCUCAAAGGACUAGUACCUCACGCCCAUUGUGACAUGGCUGGACCGGACAGAGAGGGACCUGAGCAACCACAGCAUCGUGGAAAUCCUGGAGGAGCAGAUGAAUGGCUUCUACAGGGUGUUCUCCAUCCUGAAAUACCCUGUCAAGUUAAAUGAGAAAUAUCUCUGCCACAUAACAGAGACAGAUGUGAACAACCAGCUCUUCAGAAUCAUCCACAAGUAUCCAAGGGGAUGAAGAAUGCUUUUAUAAAGAGAAUGAAAUCAUUGGCACUGCCUGCUGAUGGGUGGCUCCGCAAGGUACCACAUUGGCCUUGGCCACUGUCCUCUGGCUCCCGACAUCAGGACUUACCUCAAUGCAGAGACAG